UAAUUGUAUUUUCUCGCUAUUUUCAAAGACCUUAAAGUUACGAUUUUAUCCUAUAAGAUAAGAUAAGAUGACUUCAAUGCAAUGAAAUAAAGCAGCAAAUAAUUUUAUUUAUAGAUGUCUUCAUAUAUUGUAAAUUUGAAGGUAUCUUCAUGAUUGACAUUCCGGGCAUAUCACACUUUCUUUCUUCCAACGCAACCAUCUAAAAUAAUCCCCUGAAUAGUAAAGUUGAAAGUUAAUUUUUUCUUACUUUAUAUUAAAAAAAAAAAUACUAUCCAUUCAAAUUUUUAGAUGAUGACAAAUUCGGAAAGUGCAUCAUAUUAUUUUAAUUAUGUUACCUUCUCCACAUGAAUUGUUGUUUUCGAGACGACAAUUAAACCAAACUUAUCCUCCUCACAACCUCCUCAAAAUUAGUCUUUUUGUGAUGAUGUGACAUCUCUCAAAAUGCUUCAACAUUGUAAACUAUAAGCCAUAGAAAGAUAACAAUAUAUAUAUAUAUAUAUAUAUAUAUAUAUAUAUAGACACACACAGAUACACUCCAUUUUAAUGAAUUUUAUUAAUUAAUAACAGUAAUUUUGCAGCGUCUUAUAUAUGAACGGUUAGUUUCAAACUUAAGUUUUUUUUCUUCCAUAAUAACCUUUCAUGGAAACACCUUCUCUAAUUUAAAUUUCUUUUCUAGGAUGUAGAGUUGAAGACCAAGAGUUGUUGUGUUUUAAUUUAAAUUUAUUGAAUAUGUUAUUUGUUCUGAACCGGUCAAAAGGAUCCUAGGCCCAUUUACUUAGGCCCAAUACAAUCUAAGCCAUAUACCAAGUUUGAAAAUAUUACUUGCGACACACCCCUUCCCCACGAAGGGGGUGCACAGAGCAAGCGAGAUCAAUUCAAACGAGCCACAACGUCUCUUUCCACGUUCCC
rnacentral:lncRNA from 1 species